AUUGAACGCUGGCGGCAGGCCUAAAACAUGCAAGUCGAACGAGUGGCGGACGGGUGAGUAAUGUCUGGGAAACUGCCUGAUGGAGGGGGAUAACUACUGGAAACGGUAGCUAAUACCGCAUACCAUCAGAUGUGCCCAGAUGGGAUUAGCUUGUUGGUGGGGUAACGGCUCACUAAGGCGACGAUCCCUAGCUGGUCUGAGAGGAUGACCAGCCAAACUGUAAUUGAGUCUCGGGCCAAACUCUUACGGUAGGCAGCAGUGGGGAAUAUUGCAGAAGGGGGGCAAGCCUGAUGCAGCCAUGCCGCGUGUAGGAAGACGGCCUUCGGGUUGUAAAGUCCUUUCAGCGGGGAGGCGUUACCCGCAGAAGAAGCACCGGCUAACUCCGUGCCAGCAGCCGCGGUAAUUC
rnacentral:rRNA from 1 species